AUUAUUGUUAGUAUCGAGAGCCGAACUUAACAAAAACAAUAAAACAAGAUUGAAAACAAAACCAACGAGCUAUUGGCCUAGUGAUAAAUCUCUCAAGUGGAGGUGUUGUGUUCGAGGCACGUUGGAAGGGAUUUCUUCUCCAAAGAAGAUGAAUUUAAUCUGGUUUGUGUCCUACCUCUGAAAAAUGUAGGGCUUUUAAAUUUGAACUUCCAGAUAUAUAAAAAAAAAGAUUGAAAACAAAAGAUCUUUAUUCAACAACUCAACAUUCGACCGUUACAAAAAUUUGCCGAGCUUACA
rnacentral:sRNA from 1 species